GACCUCUCUUUCCUUUCUUUUUGUUGGUGCUGUUCAAACGCCGCUUUACGUUGGUAACAUCAUUUGUUGCACCGCUCCCCCACCCACUGACCCUCCCAUCCGCAGGCGUGUUGUGGUGGAUUGACGCCGGCUGUGCUCUCUAGAAUCGCACGGCCCGCCACCCAGACACGUCCAAUCUUCUCUAUCGAUGCUCCUCUCCACGUGUUACUCCCUUCUUCAACUACCGCCCUCUGACAAGCGAUUUCCGUCUCACUCAACGCGGCUCUCCCAAUGUUGGUGGAGUGUAUCGAUGGCAUGCCCGUGUGUGUUGCGCUGGUUUAUUGGUCGAUGUCGUUUGUUGUACUCCUGCUGCGCCUCUUCUGCGCUGAGUUCGCUGACCUCUCGUCGUACGGCGGUCGUAGCGCAGCUGCCGCCGUCAGCCCAGGUGUCUGCAAGGCCGAGCGCGAUCGAGAGGGAGAGUACUCCGCGGCUGUGGCGGCGACUACCCUCACGCGUUGGUGCGCUACACCGGUUCACUGGCUGGCCUCUUCGUUCUUGGGCCGGUGGCGCGUCACUCGUAAGCAGUCGUUCACCGCCUUUUACGUCACUGGCCUCGUCACAAGCACAGCCCUUUUCGGGAUUCGUUGGAUCGCCAACUGCAGCAAUGCUGCCUCCGGCCACCCCUCUCUGGUUGCCCGCUCGCCGCCGGCGCCGGCUCACCCCCUCUUAUGCGUGCCGCAAGUGCUCUUCACUCUUCACUGUGCGGUGCGCCUUACCGAGACGCGUCUUGUGCAGCGCUUCCGCGAGCAUGACACUGUGACCCUCUUUGCCGCUGUGGCGGGUAGCACGUUCUACGUUAUGGCAGCCAUUUCCAGCGCCGUGCCGAGCCACACAAUCGUCCCGCGUGCGUCUCAGUGGUUACACCGGUUACUGGUGAUGCGGUGCGUCUUCGGCGCCGGUACCGUGGCGCACCUGUCUCUGCAGGCCAUUCAGGUCACUGCGCACACGAUACUGGCGCGGCUGCGACAGCGCCCCUCGCACACGGUCUCAUCGACAAAGAAGACGCACAUGCGUGGUUGGGAGGAAGGUUUGUGGCGACGCGUGCAGGCACAUCUGGCAACCUCUAGCGCCGCCCAAGGCGAAUCGCCAAACAGGCUGUCCACGCCACCGGAGCUGUACGGGGCGUGGCGCCGGUACCGCUAUCCGUACUUCUCGAACGUGUGCUUUCAGGUGGUACUCGAUCCGCACUACACCUGUGAAGUCGCCAUGUACGCCGUGAACACGAUUCUUCUGCUCCUCUGCGUACUCCCCGAUGCAACAGAGCCCGCCACCGACAUCGCCGCUGGAGCAGCACGAGGCAUGGGGAGCCGCUUCAAGAGUGGCGAACCGCAGUGGUGCCGCAUGGCAUGUGCCAGUGUACCGUGGUUGUCGUUGCUGGCCAGUGUUGGCGUCACCGUAUUCACCGCCGCCAACCUCGGCAUCACCUCUGCAGAGCACCGACGAUUUUGGAUGGCAGCAAAUGCCACACGUCGUCUCGUUGGCAGUGCGCUGCGAAAGAUACUGGACGAGGAACAGGCAAAACCUCUCAGCAACGGCGGUGGCCGACUUCCAGCAGAGAUCGUCGACGCAGCGGAGUAUAUGCUACGGGAGGCAGUCGUUGAGGAAGUGGUGCCCAAGUGGAACGUGUUCCCACUCGUGUGGUAAUCAGAGGAUUGUAUCCUGUGGCGCGGUCGCCAGCCACCCCCUCCCACUCUUGCCGCUAAGGAUGCGAAGCCUUCAAUGAGACUCUCCCUCCUCAGGUGUCUCCGCAUGCACGCACGCACCUGUCGUCUUGGCCGCAUCCACACUGAGAGGGAGAUGGUUACUAGAACUGCAUCGAUGGCAAUCGCGCCGGCUCGAAGGAGUCAACCACGACUCAGACGUACAUCCCAUGCGUGCAGACACACAC
rnacentral:misc_RNA from 1 species